GCGGGCGUGGCGGAAUUGGUAGACGCACCAGAUUUAGGUUCUGGCGCCCAACAGCGUGGGGGUUCGAGUCCCUUCGCCCGCACCA
rnacentral:tRNA from 1 species